GGAGAAGUGCCCAAGUGGUUGAAGGGGCUGGCUUGGAAAGCUAGUAGGUCGAUAACACGAUGCGAGGGUUCAAAUCCCUUCUUCUCCGCCA
rnacentral:tRNA from 3 species